rnacentral:rRNA from 1 species
UGGGGAAUAUUGGACAAUGGGCGCAAGCCUGAUCCAGCCAUGCCGCGUGUGUGAUGAAGGCCUUAGGGUUGUAAAGCACUUUCGCCGAUGAAGAUAAUGACGGUAGUCGGAGAAGAAGCCCCGGCUAACUUCGUGCCAGCAGCCGCGGUAAUACGAAGGGGGCAAGCGUUGUUCGGAUUUACUGGGCGUAAAGCGUACGUAGGCGGAUCAUUAAGUCAGGGGUGAAAUCCCGGGGCUCAACCUCGGAACUGCCUUUGAUACUGGUGAUCUUGAGUCCGGGAGAGGUGAGUGGAACUCCUAGUGUAGAGGUGAAAUUCGUAGAUAUUAGGAAGAACACCAGUGGCGAAGGCGGCUCACUGGCCCGGAACUGACGCUGAGGUACGAAAGCGUGGGGAGCAAACA